rnacentral:rRNA from 1 species
UACGUAGGGUGCAAGCGUUGUCCGGAAUCAUUGGGCGUAAAGCGCGCGUAGGCGGCCCGGUAAGUCCGCUGUGAAAGUCCAGGGCUCAACCCUGGGAUGCCGGUGGAUACUGUCGGGCUCGAGUCCGGAAGAGGCGAGUGGAAUUCCUGGUGUAGCGGUGAAAUGCGCAGAUAUCAGGAGGAACACCAAUGGCGAAGGCAGCUCGCUGGGACGUGACUGACGCUGAGACGCGAAAGCGUGGGGAGCAAACAGG